UUCUGAAUGUGUCAUGUCCCCUCCCA
rnacentral:piRNA from 1 species